AGCUCUAGUCCAAGCGCCUGACAACCCGCUUCGCGGAAAAACUGAAAGCCAGGGCUUUGAGGGCUCCUCCCAAGACGCACAGGGGAGAAAUUAGAAAAUCCGUCCAACGAUGCAGCCAGCCCACCCCGCCGCAGAGCUCGCCCACGCACGGGACAGCGGAGAGCAAGAGCCAGGUGAGGACGCGGAAGUAGCUCUUCCUCCCCGCCUAGACCUGUUGGCCGGAGCAGGUCUCCUGCAAAUCGCACACCCACGCGCGCGCACCCUUCCCCGGGCCCAGCGCGCACACACCCACCCGUGCACGUACACGGACGCACGAGCCACUGUCAAACGGGUCACAGCCCCGGAAAAGACGGAGCGUGCAAGCCUCUAAAACUUACUGAAGGGGGGAGGGGCACAUGCUUACAGGCCCGGGCCCGUCGCGGUCUCCUGCCAAGCUGAAACCCGAGCGGGGCGCGGCGGCGGCUGAGCGGCCGUAGACGCUCGGGGAGGCGGCGGCUAGUCCCGAACUUUAAACAACUGCCGCGGAAGCAGGGCGUCUCCACCCAGCCGCACCUGUUCCCGACCGUGGGGGCCGAGCCCCGCACAUCCCUGCUGACCUUGAGAACAUCCCGGAAAUCCAAACUCCACCCCCAGGUCAGCGUUCCUCCGACCCCCUUCCCAUCGGUAACUGAAGCCUUCCUGGUACCCACGCGGAGGGGCCGCUUCCAGCCGCCCCCCCCCGCAAAUUAAGAACGCGCUUCCCUGGGGUCUCUGCAGAUCCUUCGAGCAUCUCACUUCUCCCGUUGCUUAUCUCCCCUUGCCCACCCUAGCCAUCAGCCCCUUACAGCAGGUUGGGUCCCCUUCUCUCCAUCCCGAGAGUGCUAACAUCCCCUAAGUGCGGGCUUCCCCCACUGGUGCGCUGGAGCUAAAGGAAGCCUUAGAGGAACGCCCUUGCGAGCUGCUUUGCAGAGCGGCUGGAGCGGGGUCCACGGGCAGGAGAGGGGGCGGCAGCAGGGCUGUCCCCCACGCCCCGGGCCCCACACUGGCAGCAACCAUCCCCGCCCCCACAACGGACCGGAAAAC